rnacentral:rRNA from 1 species
UACCGAGUUUACAACUCCCAAACCCAAUGUGAACGUUACCAAACUGUUGCCUCGGCGGGAUCUCUGCCCCGGGUGCGUCGCAGCCCCGGACCAAGGCGCCCGCCGGAGGACCAACCAAAACUCUUAUUGUAUACCCCCUCGCGGGUUUUUUUUUAUAAUCUGAGCCUUCUCGGCGCCUCUCGUAGGCGUUUCGAAAAUGAAUCAAAACUUUCAACAACGGAUCUCUUGGUUCUGGCAUCGAUGAAGAACGCAGCGAAAUGCGAUAAGUAAUGGGAAUUGCAGAAUUCAGUGAAUCAUCGAAUCUUUGAACGCACAUUGCGCCCGCCAGUAUUCUGGGGGGCAUGCCUGUCCGAGCGUCAUUUCAACCCUCGAACCCCUCCGGGGGGUCGGGGUUGGGGAUCGGCCCUCCCUUAGCGGGGGGCCGUCUCCGAAAUACAGGGGCGGUCUCGCCGCAGCCUCUCCUGCGCAGUAGUUUGCACACUCGCAUCGGGAGGGCGGCGCGUCCACAGCCGUUAAACACCCAACUUCUGAAAUGUUGACCUCGGAUCAGGUAGGAAUACCCGC